UCAUAACACAUAGUAUUCAUUGCAUAUUAAGAUAAUCUAAAUAACCCAUAUAAAAUGUUUACAGGAAAGAUAUUACAGCAAGCCUAAAACCAUCUAUACUGGGUCAACCUACUCUGAAUAGAAUCAAUCAGGUUAAAGUGACACUGACAAACUGGAUUCCAUACGAUGCAGAAUAAGGCUUGGAGAUGGAGAGUACAAUUUGGUGAACUCCGUCCAGCGAAAAAGCUUAGACAAGGAUUGCAUUUUGUAGCACCUCAGUCGUGAUUCUUCAUCUAAUUAACACGUGUAGUAUUGAUUAUUAUGUGCCAAAUUUUUCUAGUAAAAUUCGGUAAUAUAGAUAUAACAUGACAUUUAAUAAAGUAAAAAGUUUAUUUCA